UAAAUCUGUCACAGAGCAUGUUCGUGGUAUAAUGCAUAAGCAAACAAUAUUGCUUAGUUGUUUUGCUUAUGCACAAAAGCAACAAUCAGACAUGAAUUUCCUAAGCAUAAUGGGUACAGUGAGUGGAUUGCAAUUCCUCUCUUAAGAUUUUUGUUGUAAGACACACUCACACACUUCACACUCACAUGAACCCACCACUACCCCACAGACCAGCACAGCCCAGUCCAGCAUGACAGGCACAGGACACUCAAGCCAACAACUGGACAAGUGACCUCCAUACACUACAGGUAAAAUGCAGACUUUGCCUUAGCACAGUGUUGGCCACCUGUUGGCAUGGGUCCCUGACUGGGGAACUGCUGGUUUUGCUGUUUUGUUGCAUGUCAGGUAUCCAGCAUGCACUGAGGACAUGGCUCAGGGUCAGUCUCUAUGACUCCUCAUCUGAGGCCAGUUGGCAACUGUCACCAGGGUUUUUGUCAUCUGCUGUUCCGCUGUUCCAGAUGUCUUACACAACUGUGAAGCUUGCAUUGGUUAUGUGACAACCUUUUUUCUGUUGCUUCUUUGUUUUUCAGCUCAUAUUUCAAUGAUCUAAUCAGUUAUAAACGGGCAAAUUUUGUCAAUGUCUCCUCUGCAUGAGCCUCCAGCUGGCAGCCCAGAACAUUGAAUAUAAUGGCUUGCUUCAGGCAGUACAGUAGACAUGGAAGUAAAAGCUUUACUCAGUGGUAUCCUCUCCUGGAAUGCAACUGUGGCUGGUGAUCAAGGACAAGUAGCAAGCCAGGUAUCUUCACUCUAACAGCUUCAGCCACAGGAUUGAGGCCAGUUGCAGAAAAACUGGAAAUAGAGGUCUUCUCCAACUAAUUUCCUUCAGAGUAUGUGAUAAGGCAGGAUGUUGUACCAGUUCAGAAGCUCUAGCAAAACUCCUGCAGGGGAAGUGGAAACAAGAGGAACCAAAGUGGCAAGAGUGGCUGAAUGAGGCGUACCAAAAGGUUCAACUUAGAAUUAGAGAUGAUGCAAUAUAAGUCAAAGCAAAACUAAAGAAAAGCAGAAUGAUAAACA